AGAAGUGAUGAUGUUUUACCAUCUUUCGGGGCAGACCCAGCUGGUGACAACAUAAAUUUACUGAACUUCU
rfam:Branchiostoma floridae genomic scaffold BRAFLscaffold_232, whole genome shotgun sequence.